AGUCUGACUGGUUCCUUCUGGAACCGUCCUCCUAGCUUCUGGUGGUUGCCGGCCAUCCCUGGUACACCUCAGCUUGUAGAAGCUUCCCUCACUCCACCUCUGCCUCCGUCAUCACAUGGUCUUCCCUCUGUGGCUGUGUCUCUGUGUGCCCUCUCCUCCUCUUGGACAAGGUGAAAAACUGAGAGAGCCUGGUUGCUGGAGCCUGAGGAGGAGGAGCGCUGACACUUGCCUGGAUGACAUAUGUGCUGAGCAGCACUUCCUGUGCUGAGCGCUCUGGUGUGAGAGGACUAGCAAAGGAGUCAAGCAUCCAGGGGGGUCAAAAGCAGGAAAUAAUAGGCAAAGCUGACUUCUAAAUAAUGCUUCCGAGCUGCCUAAACAGACAUCUCCCUUGGGCACUACAGGGACUUCUUCAGUAAAUGAUGGCACCCUGUGCCCUCAGUCCAAUUUUAAAAACUGCAGAGAACUCUUGGAGUGAAGAACAAGGGAGGGGUACCUCGGUGGCUCAGUGGUUGAGCAUCUGCCUUGGGCUGAGGUCAUGAUCCUGAGGUCCUGGAAUCGAGACCUGCAUUGGGCUCCCCGCAGGAAGCCUGAUUCUCCCUCUGCCUAUGUCUCUGC